UUUGGGAUUUUUUGGGGGACUUAUUUGGGGAUUUUUUUGGGGGAUUCUUUCGGGGGUAUUCCAACAUUUUUGGGAUUUUUUCGGGGUGUUCUGGUGGUUUUUGCGAUUUUUUUGGGGGGGUUAUUCUGGUGCUUUUUGGGAUUUAUUUUGGGAUUUUUUCCAGGGUGUUCCGGCGCUCUUUGGGGUUUUUUUGUGGAUUCUUUCAGGGGUGUUCCGGCGCUUUUUGGGAUUUUUUGGGGGAUUUAUUUUGGGAUUUUUUCUGGGGUGUUCUGGCACUGUUUGGGAUUUAUUUUGGGAUUUUUUUUGGGGGGGCUAUUCUGCAGCUUUUAGGGAUUUAUUUUGGGAUUUUUUUGGGGUGUUCCAGCAUUGUUUGGGAUUUUUUUGGGGGAUUUAUUUUGGGAUUUUUUCCGGGGUGUUCUGGUACUUUUUGGGGUUUAUUUUGGGAUUUCUUCUGGAGGUGUUCCGUCGAUUUUUGGGGUUUUUCUGGGACGGCAGCAGCUGCGGGGGAGGCACCGCGGGGGCGUCCCAAAUUCCCUUUAGGAUUUCUGGCUGGGCUCGCACUGGGGUUACUUGAAAUGAAGUUUUCGGGGCGGAUCGAGGAGCGGUAGAAUUUUUUCCCACGUCUCAAGGCAAUAGGAUUAAUUAAUGAAUGAAUUAAUUAACAUGUAAUUAAACUGUAGAUACUCCUAGGACAGGAAAUUGAUGCCGAUAAUUUUAUUUUGUAUCGUUUUCCCUUUUUCUCUUUGUGUUGUUUUUCCCCUUUUCCCUCCUUUUCUUUCCCCCAGUGUUUCAAUAAAUUUAUUUUUUAGGAUUCCUAAAAAUCGCAAGUUCAGAUCCUCCCUCCCCUCUGGUUUUGGUUUUGUUUUUUUGGGGUUUUUUUUUUUGUUCUGUCGUUGUUUAUUUUUAAUUUGUAUUUUAUUCUGAGUUGGGCUGUGUUAUUAUUCCCGAUACCUUUAAAAUAUUGUGGGUGUUUUAAUAAAUUUUAUAUUUAUUUUUUGCACUCAA